rnacentral:lncRNA from 1 species
UUUGGAGCCAUUCUGUCUCGUCUGCACAUUCUGACAAUGUAUCCGUUGGGAUCGGAGUCGACUCAUGCGAUUUGGAGUCGACUCGGCUGUUGCUGGAGUCGACUCAUGCUUUACUGGAGUCAACUCGCCCGUUGUUCAGAAUUUGAAUUAAAGUGCUUGUCCCGUCCUGGAGUCGACUCGGACCAAACCUCAUGUCGACUCGCCAACAUCUGGAGAUGACUCGGGCACUUAGGAGUCGAUUCGUUCUCAGGGUUUCAGAAAUCCAUCUUUCUAUUUUUCUUCCUCGAGUCGACUCGAAUUUUCUUGGAGUCGACUCGGCUGUCUUGAGAGACGACUCGAGAUC